GGGGCAGUGGGCGGUGCUUGUCGUCAGCCUGCCCCUGAGGGUUCUCCCCACGGUGGGGACUCCGUGGGCGGCAGGCUGCCCCCCUGCCAGCGGAGCGCCCAGGGCUGGGAAAGCACACGUGUUUUAGCACUUGCCUGAUCUGGAGUGGCACAGAGGACAAAUGAGCCGCGUGGAGUGUGGAAACCCCAAAUCCUGAGUCGCUGCUGACUGUUGCCGCAGGCGUAGGACUCCAGCUGAAGGCGUUUAACACUGCUUCUGUCUGUGCGUGCAGGAAGCAAAGUGGUGGCAAAGAGAGAGAGAGAAAGAGAGAAGGAAGGAAGGAAAAAAUGGAAUCAGGCUGGGCCAGGGAAUUCCUAUGGGUGCAAGUGUGUGUGUGUGUGUGUGUGUGUGUAAGAGAGAGAGAGAGAGAAAAUUUUAGAAGUCAUGCAAGAUGUCUUUUCUCAUGUGACAUUUGACAUCUGUUUUUCUGCAGCACUGUUGUCUCCAAGUGUGUUCCAUUGCACUCCAGUUCGUGAGAUAAAUCAGCAACAAGGAAAUGUGUUUGUAGCAAAAUUCAUUUGGGAAAUCAGGUGUGUGUACCAUCAUCCCGCCCUGGAAAAUCGCCAGUGGACCGUAGCCUAUGAAAGGCUCUGACAAGUCCUGCAGUAGAGGCCUGGUUGACUGAAUGAUCGCGGAACUCAUUUCGGGUGGCUUACCCAGCCGCUGGAUGGAAUGAUGAGGCACGAGGCCAACUGCGCAGAGGGUGACCACUCCCCGAAGUGUGGACAGGGGUCGCCUCGAGAAUGGUGGCGCUUUGGGCAUGGUCUUUACUCACGGACCCCAUGGUACGGUCAUCACAGCAGAACUACAGAGAAGCGGGGCGCCUGGGUGGCUCAGUCGGUUCAGCCUCCGACUUCCGCUCAGGUCGUGAUCUCGCGGUCCGUGAGUUCGAGCCCCGCGUCGGGCUCUGUGCUGACCGCUCCGAGCCCGGAGCCUGCUUCGGAGCCUCUGUCCCCCUCUCUAUUUCUCUUCCUCUCCCCUGCUCUCUCUGUCUCUCGAAAAUAAACAUUGAAAAAAGAGAAAUACAGAGAAGGAGAAAUGAGCGAGCACAUAGCUUGUGAAUCUCACAGUGGAGACAAUAGCUUGGGAGUCUCAAAAUCUUCCCUUCUGAGCAUUCAAAUCCUGGGCAUCCAGCACUUGGGAGGACUGGUGUGUGGUUAGUUAAGCCACUUUUUUCCACCGAUAACCCAGAUUAGGUUAAUGCUUCCCUGAGGGGGGUGCUAGGGGAGAAGCAGAGGCCUCCGAAGGAAGGAAUGAGUUAGAUGGGUCUCUGGGAGCGAUGCAGGCUCCAUGGUCCCACAGCCGGGGGCUGCGGGAGCAAAGGACCGCCUCACCAGCCCGUGACCGUGACCGUGAUGCCCGGGACUGGAUGGGCAGGGCCCAGCUCACUGGAGGUGACCCCAGAGAACCAGCUGUGUGCCCCUGGGGGCCCUGAUGCGAUGUUUCCCCCACCCUACCGGGUACAGCGCUUGAAGGACAGAUGGGGAAAAAUCCCCGGAUGAACCAAAACCGAGGUCCUGCCAAGAGCAGAAUUGAGGAUCGAGGGAGAAAUCGGCUUUCUCUUUCUUUCUCUUCCCCCCCCCCCCAUCUGAAUUGGCGGCCUAUGAAAUUCGUUCUGAUAUGAUACAGCGAAGACGAAUCCGCGAUCUUUAAAAGGUUUCAGGCGCCGUUGUCCUUGAAUUACUAUCAAACGCUAUCUGACUUUGGUUUUCCUUACCACAUCCUGGGGCAGAAAGUGAAAAUGAUAGACCGCACGUAGGGCAGUUAUUUCCUUAACAAACGGCUGGUGCUAGUGGUCGCCUUCUGGGCCCUGCUGGUGGUUUCCGCAUCCCCCCCCCCCGCCCCUGUCCCCCCCCCCC
ensembl:lncRNA